UACGUAGGGCGCAAGCGUUGUCCGGAAUUAUUGGGCGUAAAGAGCUCGUAGGUGGCUUGUUGCGUCUGCCGUGAAAGCCCGUGGCUUAACUGCGGGUCUGCGGUGGAUACGGGCAGACUAGAGUGUGGUAGGGGAGACUGGAAUUCCUGGUGUAGCGGUGAAAUGCGCAGAUAUCAGGAGGAACACCGGUGGCGAAGGCGGCCUGCUGGGCAGUAGCUGACGCUGAUGCGCGACAGCGUGGGGAGCAAACAGG
rnacentral:rRNA from 1 species